UAGCUAAAGCCAAAUAGAGGCAAGUCACUGUUAAUGAUUUUAUUGAGUUUCUUUCUAGUUAU
rnacentral:tRNA from 1 species